AUGCGCAAAACCUGUUAAUUUAAAAGGUAUGGUGCAAUUGGAAGACAGCCAUUAAAUCUACCGUUACCGAUGGUGUUCCAUACAACCAAAUAGCUUUUACAGAUGUUGAAUCUACCAAAUAGUGGAAUGAAUUGGGUGAGCAGAAGUAUUCGGGGUUUUCCGAUGAUAAAGCAGAGGAAACUAAGCCUAUGAAUGAGCGCGGUAAAGAGCACGAAAAAGAUGGCUAAGGAAGGAAGUUAAAAAAUGAACACCCCCCAGAACUCAAAAAGUUAUUAAAGAAAUAAAAUAAGCUUGUAAGAUAUAUUUAAAAUAUCAAUAAAAUAAGAAAUUAUAAUUUAAAAUAAAUAAAUUAUGAACCAAU
ensembl:ncRNA asRNA:CR45198 antisense RNA:CR45198